GAACGAACGCUGGCGGCAGGCUUCAUACAUGGAAGUCGAGCGGUAAGGCCUCUUCGGGGGUACACGAGCGGCGAACGGGUGAGUAACAGGUGGAUAAUCUACCUUCCGGUAGGGGACAACAGCUGGAAACGGCUGCUAAUACCGCAUACGAUGAUCUCGCUGCGGCGUGGUAAAGAAAGGCGCUUCACGGCGCCGCCAAGGGAUGAGUCCGCCCCCCAUUAGCUAGUUGGUAAGGUAACGGCUUACCAAGGCUUCGAUGGGUAGCCGAGCUGAGAGGUUGAUCGGCCACACUGGGACUGAGAUACGGUCCAGACGCCUACGGGCGGCAGCAGCAGGGAAUAUUGCGCAAUGAGCGAAAGCUUGACGCAGCCAUGCCGCGUGAGUGGAUGAAGGCCUUCGGGUCGUAAAGCUCUUUUCUGAGGGAAGAACAUCCGGUGCAGGAAAUGGCGCCGGCUUGACGGUACCUCAGGAAUAAGGAGCGGCUAACUCCGUGCCAGCAGCCGCGGUAAUACGGAGGCUCCUAGCGUUGUUCGGAAUUACUGGGCGUAAAGGGAGCGCAGGCGGAUUGAUUAGUCUGAAGUGGAAGUCCGGGGCUCAACCUCGGAAGUGCUUCGGAUACUGUCAAUCUUGAGAUCGUGAGAGGAAAGCGGAAUUCAGGGUGUAGCGGUGAAAUGCUUAGAUAUCCUGAGGAACACCAAUGGCGAAAGCAGCUUUCUGGCACUGAUCUGACGCUGAGGCUCGAAAGCGUGGGUAGCGAACGGGAUUAGAUACCCCGGUAGUCCACGCCGUAAACGUUGUCAACUAGGUGCGAGAGGUAUCGACCCCUUUCGUGCCGCAGCUAACGCAUUAAGUUGACCGCCUGGGGAGUACGCGCGCAAGCGUGAAACUCAAAGGAAUUGACGGGGGCCCGCACAAGCGGUGGAGCAUGUGGUUUAAUUCGAGGCAACGCGAAGAACCUUACCCAGGCUUGACAUCCCGUGACAACCAUAGAAAUAUGGUGUUUUCCCUUCGGGGACUCGGUGACAGGUGUUGCAUGGCUGUCGUCAGCUCGUGUCGUGAGAUGUUGGGUUAAGUCCCGCAACGAGCGCAACCCCUGUCCUUAGUUACCAGCGGUUCGGCCGGGCACUCUAAGGAGACUGCCGGUGAUAAGCCGGAGGAAGGUGGGGACGACGUCAAGUCAUCACGGCCCUUAUGUCUGGGGCUACACACGUGCUACAAUGGCCGGUACAGUGAGUUGCGAACCUGCGAGGGUAAGCUAAUCUCAAAAAGCCGGUCUCAGUUCGGAUUGGAGUCUGCAAUUCGACUCCAUGAAGUCGGAAUCGCUAGUAAUCGCGUAUCAGCUACGACGCGGUGAAUACGUUCCCGGGCCUUGUACACACCGCCCGUCACAUGACCCGAGUCGGGUGCACCCGAAGUCGUUGGCCCAACCCGCAAGGGGGGGAGGCGCCGAAGGUGUGCUUGGUAAGGGGGAU
rnacentral:rRNA from 1 species